rnacentral:tRNA from 1 species
CUUAGCUCAGUUGGUUAGAGCAGCGGACUCAUAAUCCGUGGGUCGAAGGUUCAAGUCCUUCAGGGGC